rnacentral:rRNA from 1 species
GCCUUACCCGGUUUAAGGUAAAAUUACCGAUGCAAGUCGGCGGGAACGAGUUUUCUGAUCUUUCUUGGGAGGAUACGGCGUCGAGCGGCGGAGGGGGGAGUAAUGCCUAGGAAAUUACCCUGAUGUGGGGGAUAACCAUUGGAAACAAUAGCUAAAACCGCACGAUGCCUCCGGGGCAAAAAGGGGGGCCUUCGGGCCUCUCUCGUCAGGAUAUGCCUAGGUGGGAUUAGCUAGUUGGUGAGGUAAGGGCUCACCAAGGGGACGAUCCCUAGCUGGUCUGAGAGGGUGAUCAUCCACACUGGAACUGAGACACGGUCCCGACUCCUACGGGGGGCGGCAGUGGGGGAAAUUGCACAAUGGGGGCAAGCCUGAUGCAGCCCUGCCGCGGGGGUGAAAAAAGGCUUCUGGUUGUUAAACACUUUUUUUCGUGGGGAAGGGGGUGGGGUUAAUAACUGCAUUUUUUUACGUUUUCGCCAAAAAAAGAACCCGCCAACUCCCUGCCCCCAGCCGCGGUAAUACGGAGGGGGGGAGGGUUUAUCGAAAAUUUUGGGGGUAAAGAGCAGGCGGGUGGUUUGUUUAAUCAAAUAUGAAAACCCGGGGGUCAACCUCGCAAUUUUUUUUUUUAAAAUGGCGGACAAAAAAACUGUUGAGAGGGGGGAGAAUAUUUUGUGGUAGCGGUGAAAAUGCGUAGAGAUCUUAAGGAAUACCCGUGGGGAAGGGGGCCCCCCGGGAGAGAUACUGACACUCUUAUUGCGAAAACCGGGGGGGGGGAAACAGGAAUAAAAUACUCCCGGGGGGUCCACCCCCCUAAAAAAAUGUUUUACUUUGGAGGUUGGUGGGCCCUUUACCCCUGGGGUUUUUUUAGCUAACACCGUUUAUUUAUAACCCCCCCCGCGGGGAGACGGGCCCCCCGAUUAAAAACUCCCAUAGAAUUGAUCGGGGGGGCCCCCCCAAACAGGUGGGAGGAAGGGGGUUAAAUCUAUGGUACCCCGGCGAAAAC